rnacentral:rRNA from 1 species
GGGGGGACCAUCCUCCAAGGCUAAAUACUCCUGACUGACCGAUAGUGAACCAGUACCGUGAGGGAAAGGCGAAAAGAACCCCGGCGAGGGGAGUGAAAAAGAACCUGAAACCGUGUACGUACAAGCAGUGGGAGCACGCUUAGGCGUGUGACUGCGUACCUUUUGUAUAAUGGGUCAGCGACUUAUAUUCUGUAGCAAGGUUAACCGAAUAGGGGAGCCGAAGGGAAACCGAGUCUUAACUGGGCGUUAAGUUGCAGGGUAUAGACCCGAAACCCGGUGAUCUAGCCAUGGGCAGGUUGAAGGUUGGGUAACACUAACUGGAGGACCGAACCGACUAAUGUUGAAAAAUUAGCGGAUGACUUGUGGCUGGGGGUGAAAGGCCAAUCAAACCGGGAGAUAGCUGGUUCUCCCCGAAAGCUAUUUAGGUAGCGCCUCGUGAAUUCAUCUCCGGGGGUAGAGCACUGUUUCGGCAAGGGGGUCAUCCCGACUUACCAACCCGAUGCAAACUGCGAAUACCGGAGAAUGUUAUCACGGGAGACACACGGCGGGUGCUAACGUCCGUCGUGAAGAGGGAAACAACCCAGACCGCCAGCUAAGGUCCCAAAGUCAUGGUUAAGUGGGAAACGAUGUGGGAAGGCCCAGACAGCCAGGAUGUUGGCUUAGAAGCAGCCAUCAUUUAAAGAAAGCGUAAUAGCUCACUGGUCGAGUCGGCCUGCGCGGAAGAUGUAACGGGGCUAAACCAUGCACCGAAGCUGCGGCAGCGACGCU